CCAUUUUGUUUAGCUCAAAAUACCUCACAGGUGUGGACAUUCUGCAUUGUCUCUGGGAUCUUCAUUGCUGGGUUACUCAAGUAAGUGCAGUCCUUGCGUGCCUUCUUAAGGGGGAACUGUGACGUGGGAAUAAAUAUAGUUCCCUUUGGUGCCCUCCCUUGUGCAUCGUCUAUGCUAUCUCCUAUCCAAAUCUGUUGCAAUGGGAGUAUAAUCAUGAAUAUAAUAAGCUUGC
rnacentral:sRNA from 1 species